rnacentral:rRNA from 1 species
GAUGAACGCUAGCGGCGUGCUUAACGCAUGCAAGUCGAACGGGAAGCAUUCCUUCGGGGAUGUGGAGAGUGGCGAACGGGUGAGUAACACGUAGGUGACCUACCUCAGAGAGGGGGACAACUAUUGGAAACGAUAGCUAAUACCCCAGAUGUUGUUCUAUUUAGAAAGGAACAACUAAAACUCCGGUGCUCUGAGAGGGGCCUGCGGUCCAUCAGCUAGUUGGUAAGGUAACGGCUUACCAAGGCAAAGACGGAUAGGGGGCGUGAGAGCGCGAUCCCCCACACUGGUACUGAUACACGGACCAGAUACCUACGGGUAGCAGCAGCGAGGAAUAUUGCGCAAUGGGGGAAACCCUGACGCAGCAACGCCGCGUGGAGGACGAAGGCCUUCGGGUUGUAAACUCCUUUUCUAAGGGAAGAGAAAGGACGGUACCUUAGGAAUAAGGCCCGGCUAACUACG